GCCUCGAUAGCUCAGUCUGGUGGAGCUCGAGACUCGUAAUCUCGUGGUCGUGGGUUCAAUUCCCACUCGAGGCU
rnacentral:tRNA from 1 species